rnacentral:rRNA from 1 species
GAUCCUGGCUCAGGAUGAACGCUAGCGGCAGGCUUAACACAUGCAAGUCGAGGGGCAGCGCGGAGUAGCAAUACUCUGGCGGCGACCGGCGGAAGGGUGCGUAACACGUGAGCGACUUGCCCGUCACAGGGAGAUAACCGCUGGAAACGGCGACUAAUAUCCCAUAUGAUGGCGAUCUGCAUGGAUUGUCAUUGAAAGAUUCAUCGGUGACAAAUAGGCUCGCGGGG